rnacentral:rRNA from 1 species
UACGAAGGGGGCUAGCGUUGCUCGGAAUUACUGGGCGUAAAGGGCGCGUAGGCGGACAGUUUAGUCGGGGGUGAAAGCCCGGGGCUCAACCUCGGAAUUGCCUUCGAUACUGGCUGUCUUGAGUACGGGAGAGGUGUGUGGAACUCCGAGUGUAGAGGUGAAAUUCGUAGAUAUUCGGAAGAACACCAGUGGCGAAGGCGACACACUGGACUGGUAUUGACGCUGAGGUGCGAAAGCGUGGGGAGCAAACAGG